rnacentral:misc_RNA from 1 species
GUCAAUUGGCAUCAAUUCAACAAAUCGCCAAAUUUUUUCCUAAUUUUCCCAUUGGUCAAGAACCCUAAUUAUGCAAUUGUCAUAAUUCAUGCAAUCAAAGUGUAUAAACCUCAUUAACCAACUCAUUUAAACUUAUCUACACCUUUAAUUUCAAUCAAUUCACAUCAAAUUCAAAUUUUCCCUAGGCUGGCCGAAUUCCACUAUGUCCCUUAACAAGUUUUUGUUUCAUUUUCAACCAAUUUCAACUUGUUUAAAGUGCGUAAGCAUAGAUUUAAAGAGAAAUUAGGAAGAUUACUACUAACCUUUUUGAUGAGCCUUUGGAACUUCAAUUCCCUUCAAGAUUCCUUUAAUUUCCUCCUUUCCAACUUCUUAUCAAGGCCUAACUAAGAGUAUUCUAAGGGUUUUUACUAGGGUUCCUGGAAUGGAUUCAAGCUUUGAAAGCUUGAAAAUUCUUGGCUAUGGAGGAAAUGAGAGAGAGAAGAGAGAGAGGAGAGGGACGACAAAUGGAAGGAUGAAGAUGACCAAUUGUUUUCUUUUUUAAUUUUAUGUUUAUCUCUUUUUAAUUUAUCUCAAAAUAAUAUAAUUAAUUAAUAAUUUUUUUUAUUACAUCAUGCUUACCUCACCAAUGAUGUCAUA